GUGUUUAAGAAUUUACUGGAAUUUAUUCGUAUAGUAAAUUCAAAGGUGGAGCUCAUGCUGAUCGGGCCUUUCAGAACCGGAAAUCGGGCUGGAGCACGCGUUCGUUCUUUUGAUUUUGCAAAAGGAGCACGACAAAUGGCAAAAUUCGCACGGUGCCAGUUCGCAAAAACAACUGCAAACUGCUCCAAUUCUUUCCGUCACUUUCAUUUGAUCUUAUCCGUGAUUCUGCCUCAACGGCCUUUGAUUUGUGCUUCCCACAUUAUGACGCCAUACCACAUGUGCAUCAUCUAUAACUGAACAGACAACGGCAAAAUCUUAUCUAUAUUUGUUAAUAUAGUUUACAUGCAUAGUUUAUACAAACAGAUGUUUUACAGUAAAGAUGCUCAGGAAUUGCAAAUGCCUUGAGUAACGAGCAAAUGCCUUGAGUGCGCACCUUCCCUCAAAAUCCGACCAUGGUAAUCACCAAGUUUUCUUAACAAAACCAAAAUCGACUUCGUUC